GAAUCGCGAGCAACAAAGAAUCAUGUAGUAAAAUUGAUUGUUUUGUGAGGNAAUUGUNUACAGACAAAGCAUUUUGCAUCGUUUGUCUAGGAAUUAGACAAAAUGGCAGGUCGCGGCCGCGGAAGAGGGAGUUUAAACCGAUGGGAUCCUGGAUUUGAUGGUCGCGCGAUAGCUUCUGUGACUCCACUCAAAAAACACGCACAGACAACAUCAAGCAAAAUGGACGAGUUAAAGUUGUCUUCUGUUCGAGUUACAUGUAUUAUUGAUGUUAAUCANUUUUGGGCUCAAUUAGGUUCAAACUCUGACCUUGAGCAUUUUGAUAACUACAUGUUUGCUUUGAACCACUGGUGUGACAAUCAAAUACCUUCAACCAUUAGUGACAUGCCUAAUGUCGGUCAAGUUGUCUGUGUGCAACAUGCUGCUAGUAGGAUGUGGAGAAGGGCCGAGGUCACAAGACUUAGUCAAAGGAUGGUAGAUGUAUUCUUUCUGGACUACGGAGAAGCUGAAUGUGUUUCUCUUGAUAUGUUAUGUAGUAAUGUUCCUACUGAUAUAACAUCCUGGCCUCCACAGGCCUUGUACUGUACUCUUGAUGGGGUACAACCACCUAAGGGNNAAGAUCAGUGGAGUGAAAAAGCUGUGAAGAGAUUUAGAGAACUUGUGUCCUUUGGACAACAAAACUUGGCUGCUAGUCAUGGAAAUGGGAGCUUACAGUUAACACUUUAUCUUGUUGAUGAAAAUGGUCACAUGAAGUCAGUGGGAUCAAUUCUUGUAGAAGAAAAUCUUGCACAGGAGACAGGUUAUGAAUCAAGUGGAGAGAGCGCUUGGCCUGAAGUACCACAAAGAAGCCAACAACACAAAAAGGAGAGUGAAGCUCUCAAAAAUCUAGACCAACUUGAGCAGCAGCUAGUGAUGAGUGGNUUNUCAUAUCUANUGAACCCUUGUAAUGAGCAAAAACCAGAAUUCACUUAUGAAACAACAACAAUAUCAAGCUCUUACUGCACUUACAAGGGAAAUAAAGAACCACCCAUAGUGUCCUCAUCUAGCAGUAUUCCAAAUUUUGCCNCAAACAAAGAUAGAAGUCCACAGAGUCAAUUGUCUACAAGACCACAUCUUGCCAGUCCAGGUGAAUUCAUGACUUCAUCCAAGUCUCCUUUUGGUAAGGAAGCAGUCAGUGGUUUUCUACAGGANGAAAGUCAUUCCAGACAAGAUGCUUCUAAAAGUUUACCAGGAAAUACAGACAGCAGUCAACACAAUCCGUGGUUCAAUACUUGGUCCCAACAUGACUGGAAACUACCUCAAGACAAAAAUAAAUCUCUCUUUGGAUCCAGUGAUGUGUAUUCCAGUGAGGGACGAACUUUGGCUGACCUGUCAUUCAAAGAUCCAAAGUCAGCUGGUACAACAUUGCAGUACCAUUUAGAUGGACCCAGUGCAUUCCAUGAUCCUAAAUAUAAACAGCAGNAGCCAGUUAUGGGACCUUUUACCGUCACAAGUCAGCCAGGAGAUGUUUUUAGAACCCAGUCAAAUCCCCAACAACAAGNGACNGAUUCAUUCACAAAACCUCAACUACCAACAAAUAACAGCAAAGACAAGACUACGAAGACAGAGCUAAGCUGGCAAAAGUGGAAAUUCCAACGCAAUAUAAAAAAGCUUUUUGAAAAAACCCAGUCAGAGGAUGUUGAUGUUAAUGNUGUUGGUCUUGAAAUAGGGACAUUGAUUAACAAUAGCAAAUUGUCACAGAAUUUUGAGGGCAUNUCUGAAGUCAUGGUUGUCCUAGAGAUGAUAACGGAACGAGUGUUGGAGAAGACNGGGUUCAGCAGCCUCGCAGCAAAGAUUUGUAGUUUGUUGUCAGGAUUAGGGAUACCUCAGUUUACAAGAUAUAUGUGUGAAGUCAUAACUGCCAUUAAAGAUGAUCUUGGCGAGCACCAAACGAUCAGUGAUUGGGAGGAGAGAUGUGAGCGUUUUUGUUCGUUUAUGGGUGAGAUGGUUGUGAUUGCCGCUGGCCAAGAAUGUACUGAUGCAAACUUCAAGUCUGUGAUUGACAUACUCAUCAGCCAAAGCUUAGAGAAAUGGAUCACACUUGACAAGGUGGCUGAUGAGAAGCUUGAUGAGUAUUUGAUAUGUUUUAUUGCNCUUCUUGAAGUUAUUGGUCCUGUUAUGGAAGAACACAACUUACGAUUUGGAAACUUUGAUUUGGAAACCAUUUUCAAUUCAGUUCGAGAUCAUGUAUUGUCAGAUGAUAUUCCAAGGUCAGCAAAAAGUGCUCUUCUCGAUCUCAUGCUUCAGAGGGCAGCAGGAUGGCCAGAGAAACCACUGGACAAGGACACUGUUGAUNAUGAUGAUGACAUUGACAAUGUGUCUGUAGAAAACGAAGAAUAUGAGCAAGACUGGGAUCCUUAUAGCAAAGUAUCUGCAAUGCUGGAGAAAUUGAAGCUUGAGGACCUUUUUAAGAAGUUUAAAGAUAACCGCAUCAGAGAUACCUUACUUGUUGCAAAUAAAGAUGAAUUCAAGAAAACAUUGCAAGAAGCAGGUUUCCCUCCUGGAGUUAUUUUAGAAAUACAGAUGUUUCUNGAAAAAGGAGAAGAAGUUCCUGAAAGAAAAAGGAGUACCAGCAGCAAUAAAGGAUUCCCUCUUCCGGCCAGGAAUACAACAAGCCGCAAACACAACCANAGCGAACACCACAAUCAAAACACAGAGAAACUAGAAAAGCCAAUCUACCAUGAACAGACUUGUGUACCACCUCGCAAAUCUCCUGAAUGUCAGCCUAGUAAACAUGUAAGCAAUGACAACGAUCAUAGGUUAAAACAAGAACUUACAAAGGCACAUUAUCAAGUACAUGAUCAACCACGCAAGUUGUCACAUGACCAUGAAGAGGCACAUAAUCACNUACAUGAACAGGCACNUUAUCAGGUGCCUCAGCAGUCGCAGAAACAGGGACAUGAUCAAGUGCAUGAAAAGGUACACUAUCAGGCACGUAAAAUUCAUGAACANGAAGGCGAUCNCNCANAUGAAAAAGCACAUUAUGAGACAUCUCCCAAACAGGGACGUUAUCAGGCAAAUGAACANACACACUAUCAGGCACCUUUGCAACCACACAGACAAGGACUUGAUCAGGGACGUUAUCAGGGACAUAAUCAAGGACAUGAUCAGACACAUGAGCAGGCACAUUAUCAGGGACUUGAUCAAGGACGUGAUCAAACACAUCAUCAGGCACGUGAUCAAGACAUUGGCAAAAGAAAGCAAACAGCUGUCACAGAACAAAGACAUUUUGGUCAAGAAAAUGAAGAGAACAAAGGAACCAUUAGAGAGGCACAUAACUUAUUUGAACCUUCGUAUCUCAGUAGACCGCCUCCUUUGAGAGUAGACCCUGCCUCAUUUGAAUANGAACCUGAACAGGAAUCNCCUGGCCANGAAGGCCCUAUGUCAUAUAGUGCAGUUUUGAAGGCAAAAAAUGAAGAUUCCUUCCCUGAACCGCCAAACAGAUCAAUGGCUGUAAAACUGACAGCUUUGACAAAGNCNAACACUGCUGAAAAUAUACCUNCACAAAGCAAACAGCAGUUUUCUAAGACAGCAUCCAAAGAAACAAAUAAAGACUCUGGUGCAAGUAGAAGAGAACCAGGACCUCGGCCACCGCCUGGAUUGCCACCUCUUCCCCCACAAAACUGGGGCCAGUCGCCUGAGAUUAGGCUUACUGUUUUACCAAAUGCAAGACGAGGAAAACCAGACGAUGCCGCAAUAAGCUCUGAGACUGAAGCAUGGCGUGGGAGGCAGGGCUUUGGGUCACCACCUCGUGCAUCUGGGGGGAGGGGUGGAGCAUCACCAAGAGGUAGACAGGAAGGUAGCAGGGGACUAACUAGAGCUAGUAAUGAAUGGCAGCAGGGCAGAUCAGAGCCUUUGAGUUGGCGUCGACUAGAUAACGAAAAAGCAACAAGGGAGGAACAAUUAGUCAGACCUUUUGGACCUGGAGGACAGAAAGCAUGUUUUACUUGCGGCAGCAAGGAGCAUAUGUCAUGCAAUGACAAUUCAAAAUUGUUCUUUGACUAAGGAUGAAAUGGUGGGCACCCACUGGGAUUGCCACUCUACCCCCUCAAUACAUGUACUACCCCCUCAAUACAUGUACUUAAGUCAGUUGCCUGAGCUUAGACUUUUGUCCUAAAUUAAAACCAGGCAAUGCUGUAAUUAAAGUCUAGAGACUUAGCAUGGUAUGGUAGACAUUGCUUUAGGUCUUUUGAUUGAUAUGUUGCAUCUCUGUUUGUUUUGGUUGUAAUAAAAGAAUUGUAACUCUGA
rnacentral:misc_RNA from 1 species